rnacentral:misc_RNA from 1 species
ACAUCAGUCUAAACUCUGACCUGCUUUACUGCAACCAUUCGUGCGAUCCGAACGUGCGGUUCGUGACCUCGACACUCACUGCGGUCCCUACCAAAGACUCGAUGGUCAAGCCGGGAGAACCGAUCUCUGGCGCAAUUGAGGUCUGGAGCCUCAGGGAUAUCCGGGAAGGCGAAGAACUGCGGUUCUUCUACCCGAGCACGGAGUGGGAGAUGGCACAGCCUUUCGACUGCGUUUGCGGCGCCGAGACAUGCUUGGGUAGAAUCGACGGCGCCAAAAAUCUUCCCACUGAGACGUUGAAGAAAUACUGGCUUAGCGCACAUAUUGAGUCGUUGCUGGAAGAGAGAGAAGCUGGCCAAUCGGCCUAAGCUUAGCGAGGAUAUCUUCCAGAUACCUACGUAUCCGCGCGACUGCACUCUCUUUCCAUGGGAGCGAAAAAAAGGAAAAGCAUAUAAAAGUGAUUGUUGACAGACAUGACGACAUAGAGUAUAGACAAAAUAAAAAUAAAAUAGAUGCGGCCUCGGC